UAAGAAAUACAGUUUUGUUAAAGCAUAUCUAGAAAGAAAUUUCUGUCUGCUAUAAUGGAGGGGAAAGCUAUUCUUCUUUGCCUUAUGGUGAUUGUGCAGCUAGGAAACUCCAUACAUACUGGUUCAGAAUCAAUCUCCCCAUCCAUAUAUACGUUUCUGUUCUACUGGUAACCGGAGUACAUGAUUUUUUUUUUUUUUGUAAAUCUCAGUUUGGACUUGUUUUAAUGAUGUUUGUUCUUGUCUAUAGAGCAAUGCCAGAAGCGAAUUGGUUUUCUAAGCCCUUCGUGCACGGAACCAAAUUGCAAGAGGGCCUGCCAGAAUAUUUGGGGACGUGACGUCAUGAUAUCGGAGUGUUGGGUGGAAAACCCAUCGACGGCAUAUUGUUACUGUGUCGUAUGUUUCUAAAGUUGCACUAAACCUGAUGUCAAAGGACGGACAAUGGUGUGAUCUGUAAUAAAGUCUUCUUGUGACAUGCUUGUGACAAUGCGUAUUGAUCAUCAAUUAUUUUGGAUGUUCUAUUUUACUUUGCAAUGCACAAUCAUAGAUUUGGCGAUUUUGUCUUUGCAUGGUAUCCCAGUUAACCUAAUGCUGAAACAUGAUCUUCUGGCC
rnacentral:lncRNA from 1 species